CUGUCAACAGUACGUUUGAUGACUCAACCGUUUAACAGCACUGGACCAGAUAAUAAUCUGGAUGUUGUAAUAUCCUUGCUUGCUUUUAGGGUCUACCCCAAUGUCUGCUACCACAAAGAGGAAAUGAGAAUUCGUACUGCUGAGGGGCAUAAUGUGCUCAGCCACGCAUCACCCGUCAGCAGACAGGACAGGAAGUGUCGGUCACCUUUCUUCAUGCUUGGAGAAUCUUGGUUUGAUGCUUGGGAUUUGCACAGGUGUAGUUCAGAACUGUGGUGAGGCUUCAGCUCCGCUCCUCCCAGCUUAGCCAGAACUUCAGUUUGCUUCAGCCAUCUGUGUAAAGUGAGCACCUCUAAACAGACCGCAAGACUUUUGAACUCAAAAUACUAUGCUUUGUUAAAUCAAAGUACACAUGGAAUCUAAAAGCCAUUAAGAUGUUGGCUUAAGAGUGACUAGGAUCAAGCUGAGAGUGUCCCACAGCGUGGCUGCUUGCAUUGUGCUGUCCGUGCUGUGACGGAGGUGCUCACUGUGGAAGUGACUAAAGGCCUGGGGAUCAUUUGGCAGCUGGACCUACCAGAUGAGUGUGUGCUGAAUGUGAUCCAUCGAAUCUCCAGGCCACCAGCAGCGGGCGUCAACCUCAUGGCUGCCAGUGGAAGGAAGAACAAAUGGCUCUCAGUAAUAAAAGCUGUCAUCGCUGGUUCCAAAACACAGUGACUAUAAAAGAAAAGAUAAUCUAGAUUUAUUUUGGGCAAACCUCUUCAUCGCUGUCUCUGGAAAUAAAACAAAACGCUUGGCUGUGCUGGCACCCCUCUAUUGCCCCUUGUUUACACAUCUUGUGAGGCAAAGGAGAAUGAACACACCUGUGAGCUGCUGCUGGUUUAGCAAUGAAACGAAGGACUGCUUGCCUCUCCCUGGAGGCAUUCAAGGCCAGGCUGGGUGGGCUGUGAGCAACCUGGUGUGGUGGGAGGUGUCCCUGCCUAUAGCAGGGGAUGGGAACAAGACGAUCUUCAAGGUCUCUUCCAACCCAAACCAUUCUCUGAUUUUAUAAUUCUAAGUCUUUCCAUUUAGACAAAAGAACUUGUUUCUUCCCUGCAUUCCUUUCUUGCUGUUACCAGUCUGUUUGCCAUUUCAGUCCCCUUGCACAAACACAGCUCUGUAAAAUAUUGUGCUCUUGGGGGAUUUACUGCAAGUUGUGGGU
rnacentral:lncRNA from 1 species